rnacentral:rRNA from 1 species
GAGGGUGCAAGCGUUAUCCGGAAUCAUUGGGUUUAAAGGGUCCGCAGGCGGAUGUAUAAGUCAGUGGUGAAAUCCUGCAGCUUAACUGCAGAACUGCCAUUGAUACUGUACAUCUUGAAUUCGGUCGAAGUGGGCGGAAUGUGUAGUGUAGCGGUGAAAUGCAUAGAUAUUACACAGAACACCGAUAGCGAAGGCAGCUCACUAGGCCUGGAUUGACGCUCAGGGACGAAAGCGUGGGGAUCAAACAGGAUUAGAUACCCUGGUAGUCCACGCUGUAAACGAUGAUUACUCGUUUUC